GUGCUCGCUUCGGCAGCACACAUACCAAAAUUGGAACAAUACAGAGAAGAUGAGCACGGCCCCUGCGCAAGGAUGACACGCAAAUUCGUGAAGCGUUCAGUAUUUUU
rnacentral:snRNA from 1 species